rnacentral:tRNA from 1 species
GGGCCCGUAGCUCAGCUUGGUCAGAGCGACAGGCUCAUAUUCCCCUUGAGGAGAGACCUGCUGGUCGCCGGUUCAAGUCCGGCCGGGCCCA